rnacentral:rRNA from 1 species
AGUGAACGCUGGCGGUAGGCCUAACACAUGCAAGUCGAACGGCAGCACAGUAAGAGCUUGCUCUUACGGGUGGCGAGUGGCGGACGGGUCAGGAAUACAUCGGAAUCUACUUUUUCGUGGGGGAUCACGUAGGGAAACUUACGCUAAUACCGCAUACGACCUACGGGUGAAAGCAGGGGAUCUUCGGACCUUGCGCGAUUGAAUGAGCCGAUGUCGGAUUAGCUAGUUGGCGGGGUAAAGGCCCACCAAGGCGACGAUCCGUAGCUGGACUGAGAGGAUGGUCGGCCGCACUGGAACGGAGACACGGUCCAGACUCCUAAGGGAGGCAGCAGUGGGGAAUAUUGGGCAAUGGGCGCAAGCCUGAUCCAGCCAUACCGCGUGGGUGAAGAAGGCCUUCGGGUUGUAAAGCCCUUUUUUUGGGAAAGAAAAGCAGCAGGUUAAUACCCCGCUGUUCUGACGGUACCCAAAGAAUAAGCACCGGCUAACUUCGUG